rnacentral:rRNA from 1 species
UACGGGGGGGGCAAGCGUUGUUCGGAAUUACUGGGCGUAAAGGGCUGGUAGGCGGCCAACUAAGUCGGAUGUGAAAUCCCCAGGCUUAACCUGGGAACUGCAUCCGAUACUGGUCGGCUUGAAUCCGGGAGAGGGAUGCAGAAUUCCAGGUGUAGCGGUGAAAUGCGUAGAUAUCUGGAGGAACACCGGUGGCGAAGGCGGCAUCCUGGACCGGCAUUGACGCUGAGGCGCGAAAGCUAGGGGAGCAAACGGG